UUUGUACAAAGAUUUAUAGAGGUUUGAUCGAUAUCUUGGUCUAAUCAUCUACCUGAGAAACAAACUUCUUGUGAAUUCCACUAUAAUAUUUGCUGAGCUAUUAUGAGGUUAUCUUGAAUCUUGAAUCUCCGAUCUGAUGAUGCUUGAGAUAUAUUUAGGACAAACAACAUCAUCAAAGACAACUGCAAACACAUAGAUCCUCAUAUAAAAAUUAGUCUUUUUAUAUUUUUUUAGCCAUUUGGAUACAUAUAAGGAUACAUGGCAGGUAGCGAUUU
rnacentral:lncRNA from 1 species